rnacentral:rRNA from 1 species
AAGAAACCAACAGGGAUUGCCUCAGUAACGGCGAGUGAAGCGGCAACAGCUCAAAUUUGAAAUCUGGCUCUCUUUGGGGGUCCGAGUUGUAAUUUGAAGAGGGUGCUUUGGCGUCGACGGCGGUCUAAGUCCCUUGGAACAGGGCAUCGCAGAGGGUGAGAAUCCCGUAUGUGGCCGCAAGCCUUCGCCGUGUAAAGCCCCUUCGACGAGUCGAGUUGUUUGGGAAUGCAGCUCUAAAUGGGAGGUAAAUAUCUUCUAAAGCUAAAUACCGGCCAGAGACCGAUAGCGCACAAGUAGAGUGAUCGAAAGAUGAAAAGCACUUUGGAAAGAGAGUCAAACAGCACGUGAAAUUGUUGAAAGGGAAGCGCUUGCAGCCAGACUUGCUCGCAGUUGCUCAUCCGGGCUCUCGCCCGGUGCACUCUUCUGCGUGCAGGCCAGCAUCAGUUUGGGCAGCCGGAUAAAGACCUCUGUCACGUAUCUUCCUUCGGGAUGACCUUAUAGGGGAGGUGUAAUGCGGUUAGCCUGGACUGAGGUCCGCGCAUCUGCUAGGAUGCUGGCGUAAUGGCUGUAAGCGGCCCGUCUUGAAACACGGACCAAGGAGUCUAACAUCUAUGCGAGUGUUUGGGUGUCAAGCCCGGGCGCGCAAUGAAAGUGAACGGAGGUGGGAGCCCUCUCGGGGGUGCACCAUCGACCGAUCCUGAUGUCUUCGGAUGGAUUUGAGUAAGAGCAUAGCUGUUGGGACCCGAAAGAUGGUGAACUAUGCUUGAAUAGGGUGAAGCCAGAGGAAACUCUGGUGGAGGCUCGCAGCGGUUCUGACGUGCAAAUCGAUCGUCAAAUUUGGGCAUAGGGGCGAAAGACUAAUCGAACUAUCUAGAAGCUGGUCUGCAGAAAUUCUUCC